AUACGGAGGAUCCGAGCGUUAUCCGGAUUUAUUGGGUUUAAAGGGUGCGCAGGCGGCCAUUUAAGUCAGCGGUUAAAUCGUGGGGCUCAACCCCAUUCUGCCGUUGAUACUGGGUGGCUUGAUUGCGGUCGAGGUUGGCGGAAUUCGUUGUGUAGCGGUGAAAUGCAUAGAUAUGACGAAGAACACCGAUUGCGUAGGCAGCUGACCAGACCGCAAAUGACGCUCAUGCACGAAAGUGCGGGGAUCGAACAGGAUUAGAUACCCUGGUAGUCCACACAGUAAACGAUGAAUACUCGCUGUUUGCGAUAUACAGUAAGCGGCCAAGCGAAAGCGUUAAGUAUUCCACCUGGGGAGUACGCCGGCAACGGUGAAACUUAAAGGAAUUGACGGGG
rnacentral:rRNA from 1 species